AGACACUAUUCAGACCAUCCGCCA
rnacentral:siRNA from 1 species